rnacentral:rRNA from 1 species
AUUGAACGCUGGCGGUAUGCUUAACACAUGCAAGUCGAACGGUAACGGACCGCUGUGAUCCCUUCGGGGUGAACUUGGUGCCGACGAGUGGCGGACGGGUGAGUAAUACUUAGGAAUCUGCCCAGUAGUGGGGGACAACACGGGGAAACUCGUGCUAAUACCGCAUACGCCUUACGAGGGAAAGUGGGGGAUCUUCGGACCUCACGCUAUUGGAUGAGCCUAAGUCGGAUUAGCUUGUUGGUGAGGUAAAGGCUCACCAAGGCGACAAUCCGUAGCUGGUCUGAGAGGACGAUCAGCCACACUGGGACUGAGACACGGCCCAGACUCCUACGGGAGGCAGCAGUGGGGAAUAUUGGACAAUGGGGGCAACCCUGAUCCAGCAAUACCGCGUGUGUGAAGAAGGCCUGCGGGUUGUAAAGCACUUUCAGUAGAGAAGAAAAACCCAGAGGUUAAUACCCUCAGGGCUUGACGUAACCUACAGAAGAAGCACCGGCUAACUCCGUG